rnacentral:rRNA from 1 species
CCUACGGGGGGCAGCAGUGGGGGAUAUUGCACAAUGGGGGAAACCCUGAUGCAGCGACGCCGCGUGGGCGAAGAAGUAUUUCGGUAUGUAAAGCCCUAUCAGCAGGGAAGAAGAAAUGACGGUACCUGAGUAAGAAGCACCGGCUAAAUACGUGCCAGCAGCCGCGGUAAUACGUAUGGUGCAAGCGUUAUCCGGAUUUACUGGGUGUAAAGGGAGCGCAGGCGGCACGGCAAGCCUGAUGUGAAAGCCCGCGGCCCAACCGCGGGACUGCAUUGGGAACUACCGGGCUGGAGUGCCGGAGAGGUAGGCGGAAUUCCUAGUGUAGCGGUGAAAUGCGUAGAUAUUAGGAGGAACACCAGUGGCGAAGGCGGCUUACUGGACUGUAACUGACGUUGAGGCUCGAAAGCGUGGGGAGCAAACAGGAUUAGAUACCCCGGUAGUC